rnacentral:rRNA from 1 species
UUGACGGGGGCCCGCACAAGCGGUGGAGCAUGUGGUUUAAUUCGAUGCAACGCGAAGAACCUUACCUACACUUGACAUGCUGAGAAGUUACUAGAGAUAGUUUCGUGCCUUCGGGAACUCAGACACAGGUGCUGCAUGGCUGUCGUCAGCUCGUGUCGUGAGAUGUUGGGUUAAGUCCCGUAACGAGCGCAACCCCUAUCCCUAGUUGCUAGCAGUUCGGCUGAGAACUCUAGGGAGACUGCCGGUGACAAACCGGAGGAAGGUGGGGAUGACGUCAGGUCAUC